rnacentral:rRNA from 1 species
UACGUAGGGGGCAAGCGUUGUCCGGAAUUAUUGGGCGUAAAGCGCGUGUAGGCGGCUCGGUAAGUCUGCUGUGAAAGUCUAGGGCUCAACCCUGGAACGCCGGUGGAUACUGUCGAGCUCGAGUCCGGAAGAGGCGAGUGGAAUUCCUGGUGUAGCGGUGAAAUGCGCAGAUAUCAGGAGGAACACCGAUGGCGAAGGCAGCUCGCUGGGACGGUACUGACGCUGAGACGCGAAAGCGUGGGGAGCAAACAGG